CCUUGGUCAGGUGGGUGUCCUUACAGGGCCGGACUUGCAGCCUCUCGCUCACCAUCUCAGAGCCUUUCUUUGCAAUUACUUGAGUUCGCUGCGUCUUUUCCCUGAUUCUUCUCCCUAAGAUGAAGACAAAGAAGUAAUAAUUCCUAUUAAGAUACAGGAGGGAAGAGCAAUAUGAGGAACCGGGUAAUUGCCAUCUUCUUCACCAGCCAGAGCUCCCGGCUACUGGACACUUUAUAUACGGUUCCCUGGACUCAGGUUCGCUUUCCUUAAAUUUUCUUAGUCCUCACCUUAGUUCUCUUAAAAGUUAUCUCUGCUAGCGGGUCCUUUGGUGGGACAGCCCACACCAAAAACACAAUGUCUGAAGAUUCCCUGGCUCAUUUGCAAAGACAGGAAGAUGAUAUCAAGAAAAAUUAACUAACCUCAAGAACUGCCUGGUGUAUGUGUAUACAGUUCUAGACUAAACAUCAGGGAUAUGAAGAUGGCAUGACUUAAUGUGCUGUGGCUCUUUAACUUUCCCAACUUGCCGUUCUCAUAACGAAUGCGCCUUGAUGCCUAGUGGAACUGUGUUUUAUAGAGAGGCAGUCAACAGUGAUCCAGUUAAUUCCUCAUUGGCCAAGCCAUAACCGGAGUUCUACGUUCAGUCUAGAUUGAGCAUGUUAAAAAAAAAGAAAAGAAAGAAAGAAAAAGCAAAACCUCAGAAAAGUUGGAAUUAUUUCGGAGGAGAGCUGAUGACAAAGAGAACCCCAAAACGUGACAAAUAAAAAAGUACUGGUUGAAAAGUACUGGAUAAAGACUCAUCAUGUGACAUAAUUUGUUUCAUGUCUCAAGAAAAGCAGACUUGAGAGAAACAUUUCAGAUCUUGAAGAUCCCCUUCUAGCACUAGUCAAAGAAGUUGUCUGCCUUAGGAUGUGUGGAUGCAUCAACCACCAGAUUUGACCUUACUUAGAUUCCAAGGCUUAUUUCAGAGGCACUAGGUGCAGGGGAGCCAUACAUCAAGAGCAGAAUUAGUUCCUGGUUUUAUUAAAGUUAUUUUCAAUCUUGAGAUCGGAUCAGCCCUUGGUCCCAGACUUCAAAGAAUUUACAGUUACCUGAGGUCAACCACUGCUUGGAAGCAGAUGAUCCUUCUUCUGAGAUAUCAUCAGACGGUCAAUAGUAUCCUAAUGCUAUGUCACAAUGCCUGUGUCAUUCACUUCACUUCAUCUCAUCACCUAGGCAUUUUAUCAUCUCACAACAAAAGAAAAAGGUUACCAGAUCAUUUAUUGAUGCCUAUGAGGGAUCCAGAUAGUAUGCUUGUGAUUCACAUACCUUAGUCCACAAGGCUUCUGGCCAUAACAGAGUAUGAAGAAGGAGCAGAGAACAGAAGUCCGUGGAGUGGUGAAAUAAGAGACCAACCCUAUCUGGGGAAUCUAGGAAGAAGUACUCCAAUGGAUUGAUUCAAAAUGGAUCCUGAAGGGUGAAUAGGAAUAUUCUGUGCACGAAGAGCGAGCCACUCUAGAGGCAGCGCGAAUCUGGAGCAGUGAGUGGUGCCGCUAAGCCUCUUCCCCAUGAACUAUACCCAGCAUCUCAGCAUCAAGCUUCCAGAGCUUUGGAACUGUGUCUUGAGUACAUAUGCUUCAUCUUUAUUUAUUUUGUGCAACUGUUAAC